UCUCGGUUUACACCGGCAGUUUCGUUAGAGUUCCCGGCAUUACCCGCUGGCAACUAACGAUAAGGGUUGCGCUCGUUAUGGGACUUAACCCGACACCUCACGGCACGAGCUGACGACAACCAUGCAGCACCUUGCAGAAAGUCCCGAAGGAAAUCAGCCUUUCAGCUGAAUGCACUCUACAUUUAAGCCCAGGUAAGGUUCCUCGCGUAUCAUCGAAUUAAACCACAUGUUCCUCCGCUUGUGCGGGCCCCCGUCAAUUCCUUUGAGUUUCAGCCUUGCGGCCGUACUCCCCAGGUGGAUCACUUAAUGCUUUUGCUUAGCCGCUAACUGUGUAUCGCUAACAGCGAGUGAUCAUCGUUUACGGCAUGGACUAC
rnacentral:misc_RNA from 1 species